UACAGAGGGUGCUAGCGUUGUUCGGAAUCAUUGGGCGUAAAGGGUGCGUAGGCGGCGCGGUAAGUCGGGUGUGAAAUCUCGGAGCUUAACUCCGAAACUGCAUUCGAUACUGCCGUGCUUGAGGACUGGAGAGGAGACUGGAAUUUACGGUGUAGCGGUGAAAUGCGUAGAUAUCGUAAGGAAGACCAGUGGCGAAGGCGGGUCUCUGGACAGUUCCUGACGCUGAGGCACGAAGGUCAGGGGAGCAAACGGG
rnacentral:rRNA from 1 species